rnacentral:sRNA from 1 species
GCUAGGUGUGGUGGCUCAUACCUGUAAUCCCAGUGGCUCUGGAGGCUGAGACAGAAGAAUGGUGAGUUCAAAGCCAGCCUCAGCAAAAGCGAAGCCCUAAGCAACUCAGUGAGACCCUGUCUCUA